rnacentral:lncRNA from 1 species
AUCUAAUGUCACUUAGGUUGGGGUUGUAAUUCCAGUAGGGCUAUAUAACAUUAUUCUUUACUAUUGAAUCACUGAAGGUUUCUUCAUGAAUGCAUUCUUGCUGACUGUUUCACUUUGAUGCCUAGGGAAUGUGAAAUCAUUCGAAUCCAAGUUAACCCACAUAUGGCCGCGGUCAUUUAUUAGAAACGAUGUAUAUUGAUCUCUUGUAUCAAUACUGUGUAUUCAAUGCCUCUUGAAUACCAUGAGCUUUAACUUGCGAAGUUGCAUCUUGAUGUCAUUAGCUAGUUGUUAGUUGUAAUUUGAUGUAUGUAUGCAUAUGUAAUUGAUACAAUUAGGAUUUAAAGGUUAAGAUAAU